AUUGAACGCUGGCGGCAGGCCUAACACAUGCAAGUCGAGCGAGCGGCGGACGGGUGAGUAAUAUCUGGGAAACUGCCUGAUGGAGGGGGAUAACUACUGGAAACGGUAGCUAAUACCGCAUACCAUCAGAUGUGCCCAGAUGGGUGUAGCUAGUCGGUGGGGUAACGGCCCACCUAGGCGACGAUCCCUCGCUGGUCUGAGAGGAUGACCAGCCAAGCUGGAACUGAGACACGGUCCAGACUCCUACGGGAGGCAGCAGUGGGGAAUAUUGCACAAUGAGCGCAAGCCUGAUGCAGCCAUGCCGCGUGUGUGAAGAAGGCCUUCGGGUUGUAAAGCACUUUCAGCGGGGAGGCGUUACCCGCAGAAGAAGCACCGGCUAACUCCGUGCCAGCAGCCGCGGUAAUUC
rnacentral:rRNA from 1 species